CACGUAGGGGGCGAGCGUUUGUCCGGAUUUAUUGGGCGUAAAGAGCUCGUAGGCGGUUUGGCAAGUCGGGUGUGAAAUUUCGAGGCUCAACCUCGAAACGCCACUCGAUACUGCCAUGACUGGAGUCCGGUAGAGGAGUGCGGAAUUCCUGGUGUAGCGGUGAAAUGCGCAGAUAUCAGGAGGAACACCAACGGCGAAGGCAGCACUCUGGGCCGGUACUGACGCUGAGGAGCGAAAGCGUGGGGAGCAAACAGG
rnacentral:rRNA from 1 species